rnacentral:rRNA from 1 species
CAAUAGCGUAUAUUAAAGUUGUUGCAGUUAAAAAGCUCGUAGUUGGAUUUCUGGUGGGAGCGAUCGGUCUGGCGCUUAGCGCGAGUACUUGCAUCGUCUCCGGCCAUCCUUGGGGAGAGUCUGUCUGGCAUUAGGUUGUCGGGCAGAGGAUCCUCAUCGUUUACUGUGAAAAAAUUAGAGUGUUCAAAGCAGGCUUAUGCCGUUGAAUAUAUUAGCAUGGAAUAAUAAGAUGGGACUUUGGUACUAUUUUGUUGGUUUGCGCACCAAAGUAAUGAUUAAUAGGGACAGUUGGGGGUAUUCGUAUUCCGUUGUCAGAGGUGAAAUUCUUGGAUUUACGGAAGACGAACUACUGCGAAAGCAUUUACCAAGGAUGUUUUCAUUAA